GACGAACGCUGGCGGCGCGCCUAACACAUGCAAGUCGAACGAAGGGAGAGAGAAGCUUGCUUUUCUCGAACUUAGUGGCGGACGGGUGAGUAACACGUGAGCAACCUGCCUUUCAGAGGGGGAUAACGUUUGGAAACGAACGCUAAUACCGCAUGAAAUAGCGAGAGGGCAUCCUUUUGCUAUCAAAGAUUUUAUCGCUGUAAGAUGGGCUCGCGUAUGAUUAGAUAGUUGGUGAGGUAACGGCUCACCAAGUCGACGAUCAUUAGCCGGACUGAGAGGUUGAACGGCCACAUUGGGACUGAGAUACGGCCCAGACUCCUACGGGAGGCAGCAGUGGGGAAUAUUGCGCAAUGGGGGCAACCCUGACGCAGCAACGCCGCGUGAAGGAUGAAGGUCUUCGGAUUGUAAACUUCUUUUAUUAAGGACGAAGAAGUGACGGUACUUAAUGAAUAAGCCACGGCUAACUACGUG
rnacentral:rRNA from 1 species